ensembl:miRNA
CCAGCUAGCCAGCUUGCCCUGGGGAUCCUGUCUCUGACUCCUGAGUACAGAGAUUAUAGGAGAGCCACCA